rnacentral:rRNA from 1 species
UGGGUGAUCCGCCCUGCACUUCGGGAUAAGCCUGGGAAACUGGGUCUAAUACCGGAUAUGAUCAUGCGCCUCCUGGUGUGUGGUGGAAAGCUUUUGCGGUGUGGGAUGGGCCCGCGGCCUAUCAGCUUGUUGGGUGGGGUGAUGGCCUACCAAGGCGACGACGGGUAGCCGGCCUGAGAGGGCGACCGGCCACACGUGGGACUGAGACACCGGCCCAGACCUCCGUACGGGGAGGCA